rnacentral:lncRNA from 1 species
CCACGCUCAAAAGAUAGCUCAAAGGAAAGGGUUGCUAGUAAACUGCUCAAAGAAACUACACAAACUGGAACGAUAAACAGGUGGGGAAGAGAAAGAAGACGGAGGAAGUGGACUCGGCAGGAUGUUGCAUCUUGGGCCUACGUAGUUUGUCAGAAAUAAACAUCAAAGUCAACGUAGUUCGAGAAGAGGAGAUAUGCUC